GCAACCUGCCCCAGACACUGGGAUAACUCCGGGAAACCGGGGCUAAUACCGGAUACUCCGACCGGACCGCAUGAUCCGGUCGGGAAAGCUCCGACGGUCUGGGAUGGGCCCGCGGCCUAUCAGCUUGUUGGUGAGGUAACGGCCCACCAAGGCGACGACGGGUAGCUGGUCUGAGAGGACGGCCAGCCACACUGGGACUGAGACACGGCCCAGACUCCUACGGGAGGCAGCAGUGGGGAAUAUUGCGCUAAUGCGCGAAAGCGUGACGCAGCGACGCCGCGUGGGGGAUGAAGGCCCUCGGGUCGUAAACCCCUUUCGCCAGGGACGAAGCGAAAGUGACGGUACCUGGAGAAGAAGUCCCGGCUAACUACGUGCCAGCAGCCGCGGUAACACGUAGGGGACGAGCGUUGUCCGGAUUUAUUGGGCGUAAAGCGCGCGUAGGCGGCUCGGAAAGUCGGUUGUGAAAACCCGGGGCUCAACCCCGGGCCUGCGUCCGAUACUUCCGAGCUCGAGGCAGGUAGGGGAGAUCGGAAUUCCUGGUGUAGCGGUGAAAUGCGCAGAUAUCAGGAGGAACACCGGUGGCGAAGGCGGAUCUCUGGGCCUUGCCUGACGCUGAGGCGCGAAAGCUAGGGGAGCGAACAGGAUUAGAUACCCUGGUAGUCCUAGCCGUAAACGUUGGGUGCUAGGUGUGGGCGGACAUCGACCCCGUCCGUGCCGAAGCUAACGCAUUAAGCACCCCGCCUGGGGAGUACGCCGCAAGGCUAAAACUCAAAGGAUUGACGGGGGCCGCACAAGCGGC
rnacentral:rRNA from 1 species